rnacentral:rRNA from 1 species
AGAGUUUGAUCCUGGCUCAGGAUGAACGCUAGCGGCAGGCUUAACACAUGCAAGUCGAGGGGUAGAAGCAGCUUGCUGCUUUGAGACCGGCGCACGGGUGCGUAACGCGUAUGCAAUCUACCUUUUACAGAGGGAUAGCCCAGAGAAAUUUGGAUUAAUACCUCAUAGUAUGUGAGAAUCGCAUGGUUUUCACAUUAAAGUUCCAACGGUAAAAGAUGAGCAUGCGUCCCAUUAGCUAGAUGGUAAGGUAACGGCUUACCAUGGCGACGAUGGGUAGGGGUCCUGAGAGGGAGAUCCCCCACACUGGUACUGAGACACGGACCAGACUCCUACGGGAGGCAGCAGUGAGGAAUAUUGGACAAUGGGCGCAAGCCUGAUCCAGCCAUGCCGCGUGCAGGAUGACGGUCCUAUGGAUUGUAAACUGCUUUUGUACAGGAAGAAACACUCCCUCGUGAGGGAGCUUGACGGUACUGUAAGAAUAAGGAUCGGCUAACUCCGUGCCAGCAGCCGCGGUAAUACGGAGGAUCCAAGCGUUAUCCGGAAUCAUUGGGUUUAAAGGGUCCGUAGGCGGUUUAAUAAGUCAGUGGUGAAAGCCCAUCGCUCAACGGUGGAACGGCCAUUGAUACUGUUAAACUUGAAUUAUUAGGAAGUAACUAGAAUAUGUAGUGUAGCGGUGAAAUGCUUAGAGAUUACAUGGAAUACCAAUUGCGAAGGCAGGUUACUACUAAUGGAUUGACGCUGAUGGACGAAAAGCGUGGGUUAGCGAACAGGAUUAGAUACCCUGGUAGUCCACGCCGUAAACGAUGGAUACUAGCUGUUGGGCGCAAGUUCAGUGGCUAAGCGAAAGUGAUAAGUAUCCCACCUGGGGAGUACGUUCGCAAGAAUGAAACUCAAAGGAAUUGACGGGGGCCCGCACAAGCGGUGGAGCAUGUGGUUUAAUUGGAUGAUACGCGAGGAACCUUACCAAGGAUUAAAUGUAGUUUGACCGAUUUGGAAACAGAUCUUUCGCAAGACAAAUUACAAGGUGCUGCAUGGUUGU